AAGUAGAACGCUGAAGGGAGAGCUUGCUCUUCUGGAUGAGUUGCGAACGGGUGAGUAACGCGUAAGUAACCUGCCUGGUAGCGGGGGAUAACUAUUGGAAACGAUAGCUAAUACCGCAUAAUAGUAGAUGUUGCAUGACAUUUGCUUAGAAGGUGCAAUUGCAUCACUACCAGAUGGACCUGCGUUGUAUUAGCUAGUUGGUGGGGUAACGGCUCACCAAGGCGACGAUACAUAGCCGACCUGAGAGGGUGAUCGGCCACACUGGGACUGAGACACGGCCCAGACUCCUACGGGAGGCAGCAGUAGGGAAUCUUCGGCAAUGGACGGAAGUCUGACCGAGCAACGCCGCGUGAGUGAAGAAGGUUUUCGGAUCGUAAAGCUCUGUUGUAAGAGAAGAACGAGUGUGAGAGUGGAAAGUUCACACUGUGACGGUAUCUUACCAGAAAGGGACGGCUAACUACGUGCCAGCAGCCGCGGUAAUACGUAGGUCCCGAGCGUUGUCCGGAUUUAUUGGGCGUAAAGCGAGCGCAGGCGGUUAGAUAAGUCUGAAGUUAAAGGCUGUGGCUUAACCAUAGUACGCUUUGGAAACUGUUUAACUUGAGUGCAAGAGGGGAGAGUGGAAUUCCAUGUGUAGCGGUGAAAUGCGUAGAUAUAUGGAGGAACA
rnacentral:rRNA from 1 species